rnacentral:rRNA from 1 species
GAUGAACGCUGGCGGCGUGCCUAAUACAUGCAAGUCGAGCGAACAGACGAGGAGCUUGCUCCUCUGAUGUUAGCGGCGGACGGGUGAGUAACACGUGGAUAACCUACCUAUAAGACUGGGAUAACUUCGGGAAACCGGAGCUAAUACCGGAUAACAUGUUGAACCGCAUGGUUCAACAGUGAAAGACGGUCUUGCUGUCACUUAUAGAUGGAUCCGCGCCGCAUUAGCUAGUUGGUGAGGUAACGGCUUACCAAGGCAACGAUGCGUAGCCGACCUGAGAGGGUGAUCGGCCACACUGGAACUGAGACACGGUCCAGACUCCUACGGGAGGCAGCAGUAGGGAAUCUUCCGCAAUGGGCGAAAGCCUGACGGAGCAACGCCGCGUGAGUGAAGAAGGUCUUCGGAUCGUAAAACUCUGUUAUUAGGGAAGAACAAAUGUGUAAGUAACUAUGCACGUCUUGACGGUACCUAAUCAGAAAGCCACGGCUAACUACGUG